ACUUGGUAGACUGGUUUUAAGCAUGGAAGGAUUUAAAUAGAUCAAACCGGCUUCUCUGUUGAGUGAGAAUUGCAGGAAGCCUUAUUCAGAGGUAAGAGAUGCCGGUGGUUUGGGCAAGGGUGAUGUUGGAGAAAGGUGGGUGGAUUUUAGAGUAAAAUUAUCUCGUGAAUUAAAAUUAUCUAGAAAUGAUGAUGGAUUUGGUUAAGGAAUGAGGGGAAGGUAAGGAGUAAUUUCAAAGGUAAUAAUAAUAGCUAAUAUGGUGCCAGGCAUCAUUCUAAGUCUUUACAUAUAUUAGCUUUACAUAUAUUAGCUCAUUUAAUCCAUGAAGGACAAUGUAUGAUUUUCCUCACUUUAUAAAGGAGUAACUUGAGGCACAAAAAGUUUAAAUACCUUGUCCAAGGUUCCAUAGCACACAGUCUGAGUUGAGAUGUGAACACAGAGCCUGAGGUUCAAGUCCUUUUUCUAAACCAGUGAUUCUCAAAGGAGACAUUGUUGGUUGUCACAGCUGGGGCUGGAGUGCUACUGAUAUCUAGGGAUAGAGGACAGAGAUGCUGCUAAAUAUCCUACAAUGCACAAGAUAGUCCCCACGACAAGAAAUUACCCAGCCCAAAAUGUCAGUAGUGCCCAGGUUGAGAAACCCUGUUGCAAAUUGCUACAUUAUAUUAAUACUACCUACUGAGGGUAGCCGGUAGGCUUCUUAGACAACUGGUUUACCAAUACUGGGCGAAGACCAGUUUGAGGGAGACUGAGUUGCUUUCUGGACACAUCCAGUUGAGGUCCUUUAAGGCACCUAGGAAGAUAGGGCAAGUAAACUGCUGGAUGCUCGCUUGGCUUUGUAAUUCAGAGAGGUCUGGCACUGCUUGGAGUAGGUUUCUAUUCCUGGCAACUGCAUACACCAAAAUAUCUCCUGUAUUUUUAUAGUGUAUUUGUUUGUUUGUUUAUACCCCCACCCUCUUCCAGAAAGGAUGCAAAGCUGCUUAGGAGGAUAAGGAACACGCAAGAGUCUGAUGUAAGUUAAAAGUAGGACAAAGGAACACAUUCACAUAAGGGUGGAGACAUAGGAUGGAGCCAGCAAUGAGGCUAAAAGGAACCCUAAUCCCAUUCCUGGCAGCUGCAGGGCUCUUCUUACAAUCUUACUGGACUCCUUUAUCCCAGUCUCUGCUGAGAUCUCUGCCUCCUCUCCAGGAGAUGAACCCCAAUCCUCACCUCUUGGCUGCCCUGCAGCUGAGAUGAAAACUGAAUGUGCUUACUGUCUUUUAGGUUCCUGGCACCUAGUGGGAGAACAAUACAUAGUUGUAGAGAGAAACUCCAGGGAUGGGGUUGUGAACAAGACCCAAAGCCUCCCCCAUAGAGCUUCCUUUUGAAUGGGGGAGACAAACCAAAAAGGGGAGCAACCGUUGAUAUGAGCAUUCGUGCUUUGUUUUGCUUAUCAGAUAAUUUAAUAGCUAGUUCCAAGGCGUCUUUCAUGCUAUAAAGAAACAAAAAAGGACCCAAGAAAAAAUGAUGAGGAGAAGUAUGGUGGUUGGGGAAGCCUCUGUGAGAAGGUGAUAUGCAAGCUGAGACCUAGAAGAGGAGAAGGGACAGAGUUUCAUAGAGUCGGGUGAAGGCAUUCCAACCAGGAAACAGCGUGGACAGAUAGCCCUGGAUGGGAAACAACUAUGGUCUUUGAGAAACCGGGAAGAGGCCAGCAGGCCUGAAGCAGGAUGAGUGAAGAGAGAGGGUGGGAAAACAGCCAGGACCUUGCAGGCAUAGGAAAGAGUUUGGGUUUUAUUUCAAGUGCAGUAAGGAGCUAUGGAAGGACUACGUGGCAGAGAUCAACAAUUGUCCACAAGUAUCCAUUCUCCCCUUUGUCCUGAUUCAUAAAAUCCACAAGGUUGAACUGGGCAUGUGGCUGCCUGGAAUAAGAACAACUUUUCCCAGCCUCUUUUGCAGAUGUGGUCAUGUGACUUAAGCUCUGGCUGCUAGAAUCCAAGCUGGGGUGGUGUAUGCAACUUCUGAGUAGUAUCUUUGAAAGGGGGAUGUGUGUCCCCACUCCUCCUUGCUGCUAUGUGGGGUAUAGAUUAAAUGGCUGGAACCCCAGCACCAUCUCAGACUCUGAAGUGACCUUGGAAAUAAAAGCCAGGAUUGGAGAUGCCACAAUGUAGACAGAGCCUGGAUUCCUGACUCCGUUGAACUGCCAUAGUCUCAGGUAGCCAGCUGCCAGAUGCUUCUGGGAGGGAGGGAAAAGCAUCUAUCUUGCUGAAGCCACUGUUAGUGUGCAUUUUCUGUCACAGCUAAACCUAAUUCUAACUGAUAAAGGCUUUCAGGAGGAACCACAUGAUUCCGUUUAUCACAUCAGAAGCUCCCUUAGGCCCUUGUGAGGAGCAGAAGAUUGAAAGGGAGUGAGUACAGAGCAGGGAGAUAGGGGCAGAGGCUGCUGCAAUCAUCCAGGCAAAUGAAUGAACAAAUGAAUGAAUGAAUUGUAACCGGACCCAGGUUCAGUUGCUCUCUGCUUGAAAGCCAAAACUCAAGAAAUGAGACUUGGUGGGAGGAAAAACAGGUUUUUCGGGAAGCCAGCAAACGGAGAAAAUGGUAGACUACCAUCCUAAAAUGCCAUCUUAAGUCAGCACAAAUUUCAGGCUUUUUUUUAUGUUAAGGGCAGGGGAAGAAGAGGGAGUUGGGAUCAAGAUGUGACUGAUGACUGCAGACCUCUGGGUGCCAGUGAGGGCCUGAGGAGUUUGGGAACUUCUUUGUCCUUGGUCAGGUCACAAUGCUCCUGUAAAUCUUUAACAAAACACAGUUGUUUACAUACUUUCCCUUUAACCCCAGAGUUAUUUUUUAAAACUACAUAAUUGCUGUUUUUGUGUAUUAUCUAUAUGGAUCUUUAACAAAACAUGAUUGUUUACAUACUUUCCCUAUAACCCCAGAGUUGGCUUUUAAAACUACAUGAUUGCUGUUUUUGUGUAUUAUCUCAGUGCUCUAAAAUUAUCCUAGCCUACACGCGGGCAUGGGUUAAAGCCCCUUACACAAAUACGGUGAGUGUUACAUUCUUUUGCUGUUUCGCUGUUGCUGAAUGAAUGACUGAAUGAAAGCAUCUCCCAAGGCUGCCUGCUUGCUUACCUUCUCACAUGAUGCUUCUUUGCCUCUCUGUUCCUUAAGGAGCUUUCCCUCCCUUCUUUCUUGCCCCACAGUCCCCAAACUCACCAGUGUGGGCAGAAGGAGAAAAGGAAUGUUCUAUCCAGCCCCAUACCCCAGCACCUGCUGGGCAACUUUGUCUUCCCUUCUGCAAAAGAAAAGAAGUCCCCUCAAACACAGGAGAGGAUGGGAAAAGGCAUCUCUCUAAGCAGUAACCCUGGCAGGGCCCUUCAGGAUUCCCAAAUUCCCAAUUUAUAGACAGGGAAACUGAUCCCUAGAGAAGGGAAGGGACUUGCCCAUGUCCACACAGCAUGUUAGUGGGACACAUCAUGAAACAUAAAAGCAGGAAGAGGGUCUAGAAACCAUCUAGCCCUACCCCCUCAUUUAGAGAAAGGAAAACCGAGGCCCAGAGAGGGAGAGUUAGUGACAGAGCCACAACAAGAACUCAGAAGAGGGUCAGCUGGUGUGCAACCAGCUCAGUGACACAAAAGCCUGUGCUAGGGAUUUAAUGUUCUACUGUCGUGUCUUGAAAUUCUUCAUAUCUUAUCUGUAAAUGUGUAGUUUGUAAAUGAAGUCUGUGAGAUAACACAGCAGGCACCCAGGCCAACAGCCUCAGUUCAAGUGCAGUCCGGCCCCUCCCUCACCAGGUGGGUUCUCAGUGCCAGCUUCCCCAACCCCCUGCUAUCUCCUCCUCACAUCCCUUCUUCUCUCUCUUCCCCCCAACAGCUGCCAGUCUGCUAUCUGCAGGGCACUGGCACGGGAGGCUGAGCAUGCACAUCCCACAGCAUUUGGGUAGGACACGACUGCAGCCAUGCCUGCCCUAGAGGUUGAUGACAUCGUGGUGCCUUCAAGGGGGGAAACUGGCAGGGCAAGCCUUUCCCCUAUGCUAGAGCCUCUGACAUGGAGGUUGCAAGAUGUGGGGGUACCUGUCCACCAUGGAUUGGGGUGAAGGGCCUGUGGGAAAGGAGGAUGCCUGGCUUCCCUUCUCCGGGUCCUCUUGCCUCAGUGUAGGGGACCUGGCAGCAGAUGGGCACUGGUGGGCCACACUGCAGGGGAAGGCUCCUGGGUGCCUUGAGGGCCUCCGUGCUCCUCUCCAGUAGCUCCAUGCCCAAGGUAGCAUAGCAUUAAAUAGCAAAUACACAGCACAAGAGGGGCCACAGAAGUGGGGUGGGGCUUUAUGUUUGGGUACCUCUCUCCUGCCUGUGGAACAAAAGGCUUGUGUUUGCAAUGUGCCCUGGGCUGUCACAUUAGGUAGCUGUCCUGACUCAGGACUUCUGUUGCUCUGGCCACCAGCCCCCAGCACUCAGCACCGCUGGACAACACCGGUGUAUUCACGUUCAGUCUAGUGCGUUCCCGGCCCUGUGCUGGGCCUCUUUUCCCUGUUUUCUUGUUUGCAGCCUUGUCGUAACUGAGUGAGGUGUGCACUAUUAUUAGACUCAUUUUACAGGUGAGGAAAGACAGCUGCCCAUAGGCUGAGUUAACUUGUCCACGUCCUCCACCAGGGAAGCAAGAGAGCCAAGCUCCCCACCCAGGUGGCCUGGUGCUCCUGUCCUGGCCCGACAUGCGGGCAGUCGGGCCGUCGGGAAAGGAAAGCGCAGUGUAGAGGAGCUGCUUCUCACCGCCUCUCCUCCCCUCCCCACCUUCCCCGGGAACUCAUGCCCCUCCCCUGCACUCCUGCUCCUUGCCGGCUCGCCCUGGGCCGCUCCGAAGGGAGGAGACCACGUGACCCAGGUCACCGGUAACCAGGCAACCGUUCCAAGACACUGCUUUUCAUCCACUCUGGCUUCUACCUUAUUCAAUAUCUGCCAGGCGGGCAAGGCUCCUGGGAGCAUCCCUGAAGCCAUUUCUCUGGGCCAGGAGCCAGCUGUUCCCAAAAUGGCCACGAUGCCUCAGGAGGGAGGUUGACACCCUGUGCUCUCAGAAGCAGCUCAGAGCUCAGAGGCAGACCUCUACUCAUGCAAUUCUGCCUUCUGUGCAUGCAAUGGAUUGCUGCCAUCUCCAAUCAGCCACAAUGGGAGGCCACCUGCUAGACAUGGAAGAGCCACCGGAUGGAAGAAGCCUGGGUCUCUGAAAUACUGCUUGGAGUAGACUACUCUGCCUGCAAACUAGGAGCACUGAUUUUGGACUUUUUGGGAGGGACUUCUAUGCCCUCUGCAGUUUGCCUCUUCCUCUGCUAUUUUUUCAUGUAUGUGUAUGUUUUUUGCCUGUAUUUGCAAUGCCAGCCAUCAUUUGCCAUGUCUUCUAGCGGCAACCUGCAUUUAGCCCAGAUCUGCUGUGAUUAUUCCUUUUCACAAACCACAAUGACUCUGGAAAACCUGGCUGUAAACACCAGCACUGCCACCAGCUAAGGAUCUGUGAUCAGGAGUGCCAUCUCACGGUAACAGGGGUGAAGAUAAGCUUGUGCAGGCCACUGGCUAACACAGUUCAUCCCAUGCCUCCUACAUACCAAGCACUGUGCCAGGCACUUUUCACGUCUGGCAUCCUCAGAAUCCUCCAAAAGGAGAGGUUCGUGGAGGAUAAUGCUGUCAGGCUUGGAAGCAGCAGUAGAGAUCACGUUGCCCAGCUCUUGGCAUCAUUGGUUCCCAAAGCUCUGAAUCCCCUGGAGAGCUUUUGUAAAAGGUCGGAUUCAGACAAUCCGGUGGAGCACUCUGAAAUUUAGAGGAAGUGGUCAAAUAGAAUUUUCUGGAAUUAUGGAAAUCUUCUAUUCUGUGCAUCUAGUAUAGUAGAAUCUAGUCACAUGUGGCUUUUGAGAACUGGAAAUAUGGCUAAUGCAACAGAGAAAGUGAAUUUUUACUUUUGAUUCAUUUAAAUAUAAAUGGUCACAUAUGACAUCACUGCCAUAUUGGACAUUGCAGUUCUGGAAGAUGGCAGAUGCAGCCCUCAGAAGAAUUAUCAGCCUGAAUGUCUGGGCGGAGCAGAGCACUACCUUCCCACUCACUCUUCCCCUCCUCUCGCCCCCUCCCCUGCCUCACUUGCAUCAGAUUAUGAUGUGAGCAAAAGCAGGAAACAGCUCUUUUGAUAGGCCUGUGAGACUUGCUGUUCGUUGGAGUAGCUAGGCUGCUCUGACUCAUACAGACCCAAAUCCUGGCAACCACUUUUAUGAAGAAAUGACAAUUCAGUCUACUACUUGUCCAUUUUACAUGCCCAAGGAAUGUGAGGGGCCUCUGCUUGGAUCUAGUUUUCAACCUAGUCUAUGGCAUUGAUUAUCCUUUUAAAAGACAAAAGAGGUGACUUCACGGGCACUUAACAUCUUGGCCAUACUGACCCCAGUUGCACGCUACGUAGGAAGUUUUAGUCCAUUUAAACUGAAGUUCCAAUUUUUUUUUUAACAACUAUUUAAAAAUUGUACAUGUCCCAUACAUGACAGAGAAAGGGUUGUCUGGUUGGAUGAUUUUUGGCUUGCAAAAAGAGAACACAAAAGAAAAGCAUACGUUUUAAUACUCAAGAGACCAAAUUUUCUGCUGAAGAGGAAAUGAACUACAUAUCCAGAAGGGUCCUACCAAGAGGCCAAACAGACUGUGUUCUCUUGGGGGAGUUCUCAGUGGUGAUGAGAACACCACUUUUUUUUUUUUUUUAGUCAUUUUCAAGGUGAGAUAUUGACUUGCUGCUGGAGCAGGACAACUGGUCUCUCUUUCAUUGCUAGCAGCAGAGUAAGGGUCUUGCAAGUUUCAGGCAGCAGCAGAGAAAGGGUCUUGCAAGUUUCAGUCCAAAGCAAGAAGAGCUAGGAUUGCACCAGCUGUCUCACCUACUCUGUGCUCACCUGUUUCUGGAUGAAGCACGGUGACAUCUGUUUUAUUGUAAAGAGAACCAACUUUGGAAUCAAAUGGAACCUGUAUUAAAAUCCUGAAUCCGUCACUAGCUUGGACAAGUCA
rnacentral:lncRNA from 1 species